UCCUAAAGCUGUCUAAAGAUGGCUGCCAUG
rnacentral:piRNA from 1 species